rnacentral:rRNA from 1 species
UACGUAGGGUGCGAGCGUUGUCCGGAAUUAUUGGGCGUAAAGAGCUCGUAGGCGGCUUGUCGCGUCGACUGUGAAAACCCGCGGCUCAACUGCGGGCCUGCAGCCGAUACGGGCAGGCGUAGAGUUCGGUAGGGGAGACGUGGAAUUCCUGGUGUAGCGGUGGAAUGCGCAGAUAGUCGGGAGGAACACCGGUGGCGAAGGCGACUACCUGGCCUGUU